CGGGAAUUUUGGGCAAUGGGCGAAAGCCUGACCCAGCAACGCCGCGUGAGGGAUGAAGUAUUUCGGUAUGUAAACCUCGAAGGAAUGGGAAGAAUAAAUGACGGUACCAUUUAUAAGCUCCGGCUAACUACGUGCCAGCAGCCGCGGUAAUACGUAGGGAGCAAGCGUUGUUCGGAUUUACUGGGCGUAAAGGGCGCGUAGGCGGCGCGGUAAGUCACUUGUGAAAUCUCUGAGCUUAACUCAGAACGGCCAAGUGAUACUGCUGUGCUAGAGUGCGGAAGAGGCAACCGGAAUUCUUGGUGUAGCGGUGAAAUGCGUAGAUAUCAAGAGGAACACCUGAGGCGAAGGCGGGUUGCUGGGCCGACACUGACGCUGAUGCGCGAAAGCCAGGGGAGCAAACG
rnacentral:rRNA from 1 species